AAUGGGCGCAAGCCUGAUCCAGCCAUGCCGCGUGAGUGAAGAAGGCCUUCGGGUUGUAAAGCUCUUUCGGCCGGGACGAAAUCGCACGGGUUAACACCGCGUGUGGAUGACGGUACCGGAAUAAGAAGCACCGGCUAACUACGUGCCAGCAGCCGCGGUAAUACGUAGGGUGCGAGCGUUAAUCGGAAUUACUGGGCGUAAAGCGUGCGCAGGCGGUUUUGUAAGCCAGAUGUGAAAUCCCCGGGCUUAACCUGGGAACUGCAUUUGGGACUGCAAGGCUAGAGUACGGCAGAGGGGGGUAGAAUUCCUGGUGUAGCAGUGAAAUGCGUAGAUAUCAGGAGGAAUACCGAUGGCGAAGGCAGCCCCCUGGGUCGAUACUGACGCUCAUGCACGAAAGCGUGGGGAGCAAA
rnacentral:rRNA from 1 species